AGCAAAGGCAAUUGCUUUCGAUGAGGUUGAUAAGGCCCCUGAGGAGAAGAAGAGGGGAAUAACUAUUGCCACAAAAUGUACUAACCGGUUUAAUGCAGCUGUUAAUGGUACCAGUUUAAUGCAGCUGUCAAACGAGAAAUAGCUGCACAAAACCUCUGAAGCAAACACCCCUGUAUGCCUCAAUUCUACAUGAGAACUGCAGAUGUAACUGGAGAAGUGGAAUUAGCUGUAGAUGUUAAAAUGGUGAUGCCCGGUGAUAAUGUGACAGCAAGAUUUGAGUCAUUGUCACCCGUGCCUCUUGAAGCAGGUCAAAAAUUUGCUUUGAGAGAGGGAGGUAGUACAGUUGGUGCUGGGGUCUCAAGAGUGAUUGGCUAAGAUCCUCCUUCACUGACUUAAUUUUUUUUUUCAGGUCUGCUCAUUUUUGAAAGGUAGAAAAAGAUGAUGACAUUAAGUUUGCUGUUUGUCCUAGCUUUUAUUAGAAAGAAUAAGUUUCUUGUUUUUCUACUUGGGUAAAUACAUAAAUGUAAUUCUUUUUGUGAAGUUAAGAUGCAAAAUUUGGCACUUGUUUUUGGGUUUAGAAAUUCCAUAAUACAAUUACCAGGCAUGAACUGAUUACAUUAGAAUCCAAUGCUAGAAUCUAUAGCUGUGUGCUUUUCUAAAGUAUAAUCCUUUUGGAUUGCCCAUAUUGAUAAUUGAACUUUUCA